CUACGUGGUCCUGAAGAUUCUUGAAAUUAGCAAUGAUAAACAACGGGAACUUUUACUCGACCGAAUCAGGGUUCAUCAUCUUGCUUUGAAGAAGUACACCUACGGAAAGCAUAUAGUUGCUCGGUUUGAAGAAUUAUAUGGUGAAGGUGAGGAUAUCUAGCUUGGUAAUUUAAGUUACAGAAUCUCAAGAAUCAAUGUAUAGAGAUAUUUGGCUAAGAUAAAAGUUAGUUAGAGCAUUGUUUGAUACAUUACGACUUUUGCUGGCGGCGUUGUGCACCCUCAAAUAUGGUGGGGCGCCGUGUACUGAUAUUAUUUGAUUGGUGCAAAUUCCUGGUGGAUAUCCAUCUGGUGGUGACUGGCAGGAUUCAUUUAGGUUAUUACUGAAGUCGAACUACAUUCUCUAACUCUUAUAAACAUUAGUGUCUGCCAUCAUGUAUGUUUUCAUUGUUGUGAAAAUAAUUGGCCAUUGAAUUUUCUUUACCGAUUUCUUUUACCGAAGCUGUUGGCAAUGAAUAUCACAAACUUAAUUAUGGAGCCUGUUUUCGUUGUGCUGAUUUGCUUUCAUGUUGUAGACAAUGAUGGACCAAUAUGCAAACUACGUGGUCCUGAAGAUUCUUGAAAUUAGCAAUGAUAAACAACGGGAACUUUUACUCGACCGAAUCAAGGUUCAUCAUCUUGCUUUGAAGAAGUACACCUACGGAAAGCAUAUAGUUGCUCGGUUUGAAGAAUUAUAUGGUGAAGGCGAGGAUAUCUAGCUUGGUAAUUUUGGUUUAAGUUACAGAAUCUCAAGAAUCAAUGUAUAGAGAUAUUUGGCUAAGAUAAAAGUUAGUUAGAGCAUUGUUUGAUACAUUACUUUUUCCUAAGUAAAAAAGUACAUCUUUCGAAAGUAGCUUUUCCUUGGUCUCAAUAUAAUUUACAUGCUUAUUUUUCAACUGACCAAGGAAAAAAGUUGAUUUAUUUUAGAACUUUCUGCAUAGCCAACAUGCUUGUUUGCCAGUAGCCCUUCAAUUAUAUUUGAUCUACCG
rnacentral:lncRNA from 1 species